rnacentral:lncRNA from 1 species
AGUAACUUGGGAUGAUAUUAUAGAGUAAGAGUUCCACAAAGAAAGUUCACAGGUGAAAAUUCAUUACAUGAUUGUAUCAUUUAAGGAAUUAAGGCAACUACAAAUGGAAAAAGUGGGAGAUUUGAGGGCUUUUUGCCCCAACAAAACUGCUCAAUCAACAACUUUAAUGAGCCUGACUCCCACCCUCGGGGCUGUGCUCUUCCGCACCAGCCUCUUCCCAACUUCAAAUCCGAAUUCCAUGAAAUUGCUUCUCCAUCUCAUGAUCCUGCCGAAGGUUUCGAUUGUCAUUAAAAAGAUGAAUACAAAGAAAUAAGGCAGACAGAAUAAACUUCUAACCAGAGAUUGACAGAUCAGCCCAACCCUGCAAAUGGAUAAGCAAUCACACAUAUGACCAAAAGUACAGGGUACCAAACAAGGAAACAACAGCACAAUGUGCUACAGAUUCUGCAUGCAAGCUUAUGAGUCAUGACUACAAGUUCACAUUCUCAUAACAUAUAAGAAGGCACAAUAUCAAGUCCAAAGGAAAAGAAAUAUGCAUACACACACAGACACACACACACACACACACGUGUAUGCAUCUAUAUUAUAUAUUACAAGCUGCGGUAACUCAAUAGUCAUUUCAGGACCAAAAUCAUUGGGGAAAAAAAAGGCAAACCACAGUUCUUUCGAACUAUGAAACCUUGUCGCAUCUUCAGUUUGCCCUAAAAUCCAGAAAGCUUAUCAAAUAUCUGAACUUAGUUACUUGCCUCCGUCAUAUGCAUAAAAAAAUGGACCUAAAACUGCCAUUUUCCCUUUAAGUAAUAUCAAUAGAGCCCUUGCGCACAGAAAGAGCUCAGUUCCAUAGAUUUAAUUAGAUCUUCGAACUUAAAUCCAAUUUAACAACACUAGUCAACAAACCCGAAACAAGCCAAACUGAACAAAUAACCCAAAAUGACUGAACAAAAGCCUCUGGAACCUUUUUUUUUGGUAGGGUAAGUAAGAAUCAUACUGUAAAAGGUUCAUGCAUUUUAGCCAGAGAAAUUCAAAUUCUAGAGCAGACCCAAAACCAUCCAACUGAUUCGCAAUAAAUUUUUCAACUUUCAAAUGAAAAUAAAUAACAUAUCAUUAAGAUAUGCUUUCAAUUCUGCAGAGCAUGAUCUAGCAAGAGAAAUUCCCCAAUUCUGCUGCAAACCCCAAAUCAUCCAACUGACCUCACAAUAAAAAAAAAUUAAACUUUCAAAUGAAAACAAGGUUAUAAUAAAAAGAGAAAAAUGGGAGGGGGGAGGGGGGAGGGGGCAGGGGAGGCUCAGAUUCGCCUUUUUUCAGAUAAGAAAUAAAGCCGGUGGCUGCAACAAAAACAAGAGUUGCCCCGCCAAGCUACGGCCUUUUUUUCUUCAAAAAUCUGAAUUUAAUAACCCCACAAAGAAAAAAAUCAUCAUUGCCUCGUUGAGAUGAGGGGUUUUCGAGAGAAGGAGAAGAAAAAGAAGUAGAAAAGAAACAGUAUAGCAGAGACUGAGAAGCAGAAGAUAACGACGAUGGUGGCGAUGAUGAUGGAAGAUGGCGGGCGUGUUGAAAUGGAUGAUUUUAGUACACAAUCAAUGGGCUAUUGUUGUAGAUGAAGGUAUAUGUUGAGUGAAAUCAUAGGCUUCGCUAUCGAUCAGAGGAGGGGAGCAACCAACCUUUAUAGAACCAGCCACCUCCCCUGAGAGCAAUGCCUCAUUCUUAAACUAAUGAGCCUUCGUAAACCCUCAAACCUCCAUGAUUCCCUUUUAUAAUGUGUCAACCACAGGUCCCCCAUGUUUCUUCAUUAAAAAAAAAAAAAAAAAGAAAGUUGAGAUUCAAGAGCGUCUCUGGGCGAGUUUUUUUUUUUUUUUUCCAUAAAUGAUUUACUUGUCUCUAUAGUCCAUAAUUAAAAAAAUCAUUUUAGUUAUUUAUUUAAGUUUUUCUUUACUUUCAUCCAAUAUCAAAUCAACUCCCAAAGGUAAA